ACCCGCUGAACUUAAGCAUAUCAAUAAGCGGAGGAAAAGAAACUAACAAGGAUUCCCCUAGUAACGGCGAGUGAAGCGGGAAGAGCUCAAAUUUAAAAUCUGGCAGUGUAUUCUGUCCGAGUUGUAGUCUAGAGAAGCAUCAUCCGCGCUGGACCAUGUACAAGUCUCUUGGAACAGAGCGUCAUAGAGGGUGAGAAUCCCGUCCUUGACAUGGACUCCCAGUGCUUUGUGUUGUGCUCUCAACGAGUCGAGUUGUUUGGGAAUGCAGCUCAAAAUGGGUGGUAAAUUCCAUCUAAAGCUAAAUAUUGGCGAGAGACCGAUAGCGAACAAGUACCGUGAGGGAAAGAUGAAAAGCACUUUGGAGAGAGAGUUAAACAGUACGUGAAAUUGUUGAAAUGGAAACGAUUGAAGUCAGUCGCGUUCUCUGGGAUUCAGCCUUGCUUCUGCUUGGUGCAUUUCCUAGUCUACGGGCCAGCAUGGAUUUCGACCGUUGGAAAAGGGCUGGAGGAAUGUGGCACCCUCGGGUGUGUUAUAGCCUCUUGUCGCAUGCAUCGGUUGGGAUCGAGGACCUCAGUGCACGCUUCGGUUGUGCUUUGAUGCUGGCGUAAUGGCUUUAAACGACCCGUCUUGAAACACGG
rnacentral:rRNA from 1 species